ACCCAUUUUACUGCUAUUGCUUUCUUGUCUGAUGGUAACUUGACUAUCUCCCGUGUAUGAUUCUUCUCAAUGGCACAUAGUUCUUCCUCCAUAGCUUGCUUCCAUUUCAUGUUAUUCAGAGUUUCAAUAUGAUUAACAGGUUCUGCUCCUGCUAGCAGUGCAAAGUGUACUAGAUCACCAUCUUCAUUUACCUCAUUAUCAUUUACCACAUCACAAUCUUGUAAUCUGGCUGGAAUUUUUCUUGCCCUUGAUGAUCUGGCU
rnacentral:lncRNA from 1 species